UACGUAGGUGACGAGCGUUGUCCGGAUUUACUGGGCGUCAAGAGCGCGCAGGCGGGCGUUCAAGUCGAGUGUGAAAGCCCCCGGCUCAACUGGGGAGGGUCACUCGAUACUGAUCGACUCGAAGGCAGGAGAGGGUAGUGGAAUUCCCGGUGUAGUGGUGAAAUGCGUAGAUAUCGAGAGGAACACCUGCGGCGAAGGCGGGUUGCUGGGCUGAUACUGACGCUGAGGCGCGAAAGCCAGGGGAGCGAACGGG
rnacentral:rRNA from 1 species